AAUAAACAGCUGCGCCAUGAGCGCAUGAUACGCCCGACGUCUUGUGUGGAAGUUUUAUGCAAUAAUCAUAAAUAGUUUCUGAGAAAGUUUUAAGCAAUAACCAUAUAUUGUUUUUGAGACACGGCAGGACAUGUGAAACCCCCAACCCUGUUUUUUUUUUUUUACAAAAAAACUAAAUAUCACUAAAAUAAAAUUUUGAAUCAAAACCAAAAAGUAUACAGAUCUUUAGAUUAAUAUAACAAAGAAGUGUGUAAAGUUUUAA
rnacentral:lncRNA from 1 species